GACGAACGCUGGCGGCGUGCUUAACACAUGCAAGUCGAACGGAAAGGCCCUGCUUUUGUGGGGUGCUCGAGUGGCGAACGGGUGAGUAACACGUGAGUAACCUGCCCUUGACUUUGGGAUAACUUCAGGAAACUGGGGCUAAUACCGGAUAGGAGCUCCUGCUGCAUGGUGGGGGUUGGAAAGUUUCGGCGGUUGGGGAUGGACUCGCGGCUUAUCAGCUUGUUGGUGGGGUAGUGGCUUACCAAGGCUUUGACGGGUAGCCGGCCUGAGAGGGUGACCGGCCACAUUGGGACUGAGAUACGGCCCAGACUCCUACGGGAGGCAGCAGUGGGGAAUAUUGCACAAUGGGCGGAAGCCUGAUGCAGCAACGCCGCGUGCGGGAUGACGGCCUUCGGGUUGUAAACCGCUUUCGCCUGUGACGAAGCGUGAGUGACGGUAAUGGGUAAAGAAGCACCGGCUAACUACGUGCCAGCAGCCGCGGUGAUACGUAGGGUGCGAGCGUUGUCCGGAUUUAUUGGGCGUAAAGGGCUCGUAGGUGGUUGAUCGCGUCGGAAGUGUAAUCUUGGGGCUUAAACCCUGAGCGUGCUUUCGAUACGGGUUGACUUGAGGAAGGUAGGGGAGAAUGGAAUUCCUGGUGGAGCGGUGGAAUGCGCAGAUAUCAGGAGGAACACCAGUGGCGAAGGCGGUUCUCUGGGCCUUUCCUGACGCUGAGGAGCGAAAGCGUGGGGAGCGAACAGGCUUAGAUACCCUGGUAGUCCACGCUGUAAACGGUGGGUACUAGGUGUGGGGUCCAUUCCACGGGUUCCGUGCCGUAGCUAACGCUUUAAGUACCCCGCCUGGGGAGUACGGCCGCAAGGCUAAAACUCAAAGGAAUUGACGGGGCCCCGCACAAGCGGCGGAGCAUGCGGAUUAAUUCGAUGCAACGCGUAGAACCUUACCUGGGUUUGACAUGGAUCGGGAGCGCUCAGAGAUGGGUGUGCCUCUUUUGGGGUCGGUUCACAGGUGGUGCAUGGCUGUCGUCAGCUCGUGUCGUGAGAUGUUGGGUUAAGUCCCGCAACGAGCGCAACCCUUGUUCACUGUUGCCAGCACGUUAUGGUGGGGACUCAGUGGAGACCGCCGGGGUCAACUCGGAGGAAGGUGGGGAUGACGUCAAGUCAUCAUGCCCCUUAUGUCCAGGGCUUCACGCAUGCUACAAUGGCUGGUACAGAGAGUGGCGAGCCUGUGAGGGUGAGCGAAUCUCGGAAAGCCGGUCUCAGUUCGGAUUGGGGUCUGCAACUCGACCUCAUGAAGUCGGAGUCGCUAGUAAUCGCAGAUCAGCAACGCUGCGGUGAAUACGUUCCCGGGGCU
rnacentral:rRNA from 1 species